GCACAAGUAACUUACAACCUAAAUGGUAGUGAAUUAGGCAUAACCACACACGAGAAGGAUUUGGGAAUUGUUAUAGACAACAAAUUAGGCAGCCAUAUGCAAUGUCAAUCUGCAGUUGCUAAGGCCAGUAAGGUUUUGUCAUGUAUAAAUAGGGGAAUAAAUUCUCAGGAUGAAAAUACAAUUUUGCCUCUUUAUAAAUCGCUGGUAAGACCACACCUUGAAUAUGCUGUGCAAUUUUGGGCACCUGUUCUAAAAAAGGACAUCAUGGCACUAUAAAAGAUGCAGAGACGAGCUACAAAAUUGAUAAAAGGAAUGGAGCA
rnacentral:lncRNA from 1 species